GCGGGACCGUGGCAGAGGACGGGGACUCCUAGCAGAGCUGAACUGAUGUGGAUUCCUGCACCUGCUAUCUAGAGAGAGAGGAAAAGACAACGUGGUGGGACAUGUAAGCGACUGUAUCAGGAGCCAGACGACACCUGCCCCCAUGUACCAGACCAAGACAAGCAGCUACCUCGUGGGAGAAUGUGACAGGACUGAUCUCUGCCCAGCUACCUACAGAACUAUUCCUUAGGUGCAGGAACCCUACAGCUACAAUUUUUUUUUGCAAGUCAAUGGUCCUUCUCAUCACUGACCCACCAAGGAUGGACGAGGGAAGAAACCACAUGGCUACGAGGAUAUUAGACCUCACCCUAGAGAUCAUCUACCUGAUAACUGGAGAGGAUUACACAGUAGUAAAGAGGUCGUCUGAUAAGUGUGUGACACCCCAUGUGUCCAGGACCCCAGGAGCCAUCACUGAGCCUCCACCUCAUUCACUGAUACAUGAGCAGAAGAUCCUAGAACUUACCAACAGGAUCACUGAGCUGCUAACCAGAGAGGUUCCUAUAAGGUGUCAGGAUGUCGCUGUCUAUUUCUCCAUGGAGGAGUGGGAGUAUUU